UACAGAGGGUGCGAGCGUUGUCCGGAAUCACUGGGCGUAAAGGGCGCGUAGGUGGCGGCAUAAGGCCGCGGUGAAAGUUCGGGGCUCAACCCUGAAUCGGCCGCGGCGACUGUGUCGCUUGGGCACCGUAGAGGCAGAUGGAAUUCCGGGUGUAGCGGUGGAAUGCGUAGAGAUCCGGAAGAACACCAGUGGCGAAGGCGAGUCCCUGGACACUUCCUGACACUGAGGCACGAAGGCCAGGGGAGCAAACGGG
rnacentral:rRNA from 1 species